rnacentral:tRNA from 1 species
CCGAUCUUAGCUCAGUUGGUAGAGCGGAGGACUGUAGAUCCUUAGGUCGCUGGUUUGAAUCCGGCAGGUCGGA